GAUGGUAUAGCUCAGUACCUGCUUAGCAUGCACGAGGUCCUGGGUUCAAUCCCCAGUACCUCCA
rnacentral:tRNA from 1 species